AGAGUUUGAUCCUGGCUCAGGAUGAACGCUGGCGGCGUGCCUAACACAUGCAAGUCGAACGGGGUUAAGGGAAAUUUUCGGAUGGAACUUAACUUAGUGGCGGACGGGUGAGUAACGCGUGGAUAACCUGCCUCACACUGGGGGAUAGCAGCUGGAAACGGCUGGUAAUACCGCAUAAGACCCCGGCACCGCAUGGUGCCGAGGUAAAAGAUUUAUCGGUGUGAGAUGGAUCCGCGUCUGAUUAGCCAGUUGGCGGGGUAACGGCCCACCAAAGCGACGAUCAGUAGCCGGCCUGAGAGGGUGAACGGCCACAUUGGGACUGAGACACGGCCCAAACUCCUACGGGAGGCAGCAGUGGGGAAUAUUGCACAAUGGGCGCAAGCCUGAUGCAGCAACGCCGCGUGAGUGAAGAAGUAUUUCGGUAUGUAAAGCUCUAUCAGCAGGGAAGAAAGGCCCGAAAGGGAGAUGACGGUACCUGACUAAGAAGCCCCGGCUAACUACGUGCCAGCAGCCGCGGUAAUACGUAGGGGGCAAGCGUUAUCCGGAUUUACUGGGUGUAAAGGGAGCGCAGACGGCAGUGCAAGUCUGAUGUGAAAGCCCGGGGCUCAACCCCGGAACUGCAUUGGAAACUGUACAGCUUGAGUGUCGGAGAGGUAAGCGGAAUUCCUAGUGUAGCGGUGAAAUGCGUAGAUAUUAGGAGGAACACCGGUGGCGAAGGCGGCUUACUGGACGAUAACUGACGUUGAGGCUCGAAAGCGUGGGGAGCAAACAGGAUUAGAUACCCUGGUAGUCCACGCUGUAAACGAUGAAUACUAGUGUGGGUGUGCACUGCACAUCCGUGCCGCAGCUAACGCAAUAAGUAUUCCACCUGGGGAGUACGUUC
rnacentral:rRNA from 1 species